rnacentral:rRNA from 1 species
GUGGGGAAUAUUCCGCAAUGGACGAAAGCCUGACGGAGCAACGCCGCGUGAGUGAAGACGGCCUUCGGGUUGUAAAGCUCUGUUAUAUGGGACGAACGUAUCUAUGGCCAAUACCCAUAGAUAGUGACGGUACCGUAAGAGAAAGCCACGGCUAACUACGUGCCAGCAGCCGCGGUAAUACGUAGGUGGCAAGCGUUGUCCGGAAUUAUUGGGCGUAAAGGGCGCGCAGGCGGCCUGUCAAGUCUGUCUUAAAAGUGCGGGGCUCAACCCCGUGAUGGGACGGAAACUGGCAGGCUGGAGUGUCGGAGAGGAAAGCAGAAUUCCUAGUGUAGCGGUGAAAUGCGUAGAUAUUAGGAGGAAUACCAGUGGCGAAAGCGGCUUUCUGGACGACAACUGACGCUGAGGCGCGAAAGCCAGGGGAGCAAACGGGAUUAGAUACCCCAGUAGUCC